rnacentral:rRNA from 1 species
AGAACUUAGCAGAGAUGCUUUGGUGCCUUCGGGAACUCUGAGACAGGUGCUGCAUGGCUGUCGUCAGCUCGUGUUGUGAAAUGUUGGGUUAAGUCCCGCAACGAGCGCAACCCUUAUCCUUUGUUGCCAGCGGUCCAGCCGGGAACUCAAAGGAGACUGCCAGUGAUAAACUGGAGGAAGGUGGGGAUGACGUCAAGUCAUCAUGGCCCUUACGAGUAGGGCUACACACGUGCUACAAUGGCGCAUACAAAGAGAAGCGACCUCGCGAGAGCAAGCGGACCUCAUAAAGUGCGUCGUAGUCCGGAUUGGAGUCUGCAACUCGACUCCAUGAAGUCGGAAUCGCUAGUAAUCGUGGAUCAGAAUGCCACGGUGAAUACGUUCCCGGGCCUUGUACACACCGCCCGUCACACCAUGGGAGUGGGUUGCAAAAGAAGUAGGUAGCUUAACCUUCGGGAGGGCGCUUACCACUUUGUGAUUCAUGACUGGGGUGAAGUCGUAACAAGGUAAGCGUAGUGCU